GACGAACGCUGGCGGCGUGCCUAACACAUGCAAGUCGAACGGAAAGGCCCUGCUUUUGUGGGGUUCUCGAUUGGCGAACGGGUGAGUAACACGUGAGUAACCGGCCCUUGACUUUGGGAUAACUUCAGGAAACUGGGGCUAAUAUCGUAUAGGAUCUCCUGCUGCAUGGUGGGCGUUGGAAAGUUUCGGCGGUUGGGGAUGGACUCGCGGCUUAUCAGCUUGUUGGUGGGGUAGUGGCUUACCAAGGCUUUGACGGGUAGCCGGCAUGAGAGGGUGACCGGCGACAUUGGGCCUGAGAUACGGACCAGUCUCCUACGUGAGGCAGCAGUGGGGAAUAUUGCACAGUGGGCGGAAGCCUGAUGCAGCAACGCCGCGUGCGUGAAGACGGCCUUCGGGGUGUGAACCGCUUUCGCCUGUGACGAAGCGUGAGUGACGGUAAUGGGUAAAGAAGCACCGGCUAACUACGUG
rnacentral:rRNA from 1 species